GACAGAGGUGGCAAGCGUUGUUCGGAUUUAUUGGGUGUAAAGGGUCCGUAGGCGGUUCGAUAAGUCUGACGUGAAAUCCCAUGGCUCAACCAUGGAACUGCGUUGGAAACUAUCGGACUUGAGUACCGAAGAGGUAAAGGGAAUUCCCGGUGUAAGGGUGAAAUCUGUAGAUAUCGGGAGGAACACCAGUGGCGAAGGCGCUUUACUGGUCGGUUACUGACGCUGAGGGACGAAAGCAAGGGGAGCAAACAGG
rnacentral:rRNA from 1 species